GAAAUGCGAUAAGUAAUGUGAAUUGCAGAAUUCAGUGAAUCAUCGAAUCUUUGAACGCACAUUGCGCCCGCCAGUAUUCUGGCGGGCAUGCCUGUUCGAGCGUCAUUUCAACCAUCAAGCCCCCGGGCUUGUGUUGGGGACCUGCGGCUGCCGCAGGCCCCGAAAACCAGUGGCGCUCGCUGUCACACCGGGCGUAGUAGAUUUUUCGUCUCGCCCAGGGCGUGCUGCGGGUUCCGGCCGUUAAAAAGCCUCUCUUUUAACCCAAGGUUGACCUCGGAUCAGGUAGGAAGACCCGCUGAACUUAAGC
rnacentral:misc_RNA from 1 species